GAAAACCAAUUGAACGAGCUGAAUCAUCACGAAUAUCGUUUAGUUCCGUAACGUUCGAGACGGAUCAACUUACCGGGGUAACGUUAUAUUGUAGAAGAAAAAAAAAAAAAACGAUUGAUAAAAACCGGUCGCCCACGAGCUACUCGCCGCUGCUCGCCGCUCUCGGCGCUCGUCCGCGUUAGGAAACGGUUUGUGCGCAGUGUUGGAAAUCGGCGAUGCGUUU